CACACCACUUAAGAUGAUGGUUAGACUUAUAAAAAGCAACUGACAUCACCAACUGGACUCACAAAUCCUUCGAGAGACAAUGGCCAAGGCAUGUGAGGAGACGUCAGAAGACAACUUUUGGGACUUUUUCUCCCCUCCCACCAGGCCAGAGAACAGAAGAGAGCAUGCCCAGUGAAGAGGCCGGGAAGGAUCCAGAGUCUUCAAACCGGGAGCUGUGCCUCAGCAGAAGCUCUGCCACACAGGCAAGGUCUACGACUGUCAGCAGCAUGAAAGCAGUUACAGACAACUGACUGAUCAUCACCGUUCUGUUCAUCAAAAAGAUUUCUGGGGACUACAUUUCUGGAGUGGGAGUGUGCAGGGACUGUGGCUGGCAAACAGGGACUGGGUG